rnacentral:rRNA from 1 species
AAGUCGAGGGGAAACGACAUCGAAAGCUUGCUUUUGAUGGGCGUCGACCGGCGCACGGGUGAGUAACGCGUAUCCAACCUGCCCACCACUUGGGGAUAACCUUGCGAAAGUAAGACUAAUACCCAAUGAUAUCUCUAGAAGACAUCUGAAGGAGAUUAAAGAUUUAUCGGUGAUGGAUGGGGAUGCGUUCCAUUAGGUUGUUGGCGGGGUAACGGCCCACCAAGGCGACGAUCAGUAGGGGUUCUGAGAGGAAGGUCCCCACAUUGGAACUGAGACACGGUCCAAACUCC